rfam:Schistosoma mattheei strain Denwood, Zambia genome assembly, scaffold: SMTD_scaffold0000488
AUCCAGCUGACGAAUCCCAAAUAGGACGUAACGCGCAUCCUGAAU